rnacentral:sRNA from 1 species
AUUAGUAAGUUUAAAUAUAAAAAUAAAAAAUUAUAGCAAAACAACUUCAAUAUUUUGGAAUAAACAAAAAAUUUAGGCUCUAUUUGUUUGAUCAUUUGGAAUUUGCAUCCAAAUGAUUCAUCCAAAUAAUCCAUUUGAAUGAUUCAUCUUAAUGAUGUUUGUUUGAUCAUUUGCUAAUCAUUUGCUAAUUCAUCUAAAUGCAUCAUUUAGAUAGAGCUUUGUUUGUUUGAUCAUUUGGAUGAAUCAUUCACUUUCUCAUAUAUAUAUAAAUGACUAAAAUACCCUCUGUUAAGUAACAAGUCAAUUGCUACAUUCUUAUAAAUCAAAGUAAAGUUUGAAAAAGAGAAUUUGGUUUUGUGCUUCAAAUCUUGUCGUCGUUGAUCAUUUCCCAUUUCAAACUUCAAUUUCAAAUUACUAAACCUGUAAAGAAGAGCAAUAACCUGAAUCAUCACCAAUUCUCCAAUAAGAGCAAGCAUGCAUAUUGGCUAGUACUUACCUAACGAUUCAACCAUGACACAUUCUCAAAAGUAAUUCAAUCAUGACACAAACUAGAAUCAGAAACCAAAGUAUGGUCUUAUGCAUAUUACCAAACCAUAACACUAAAGCAAACAACAUCAAGAGACACUAGAAUUGCAGCUGCUCAAGAAUACAACAACUAGAUUGAGAGAGAGACUAUUCAACAAUGAGCUAAAACCAGAAACAUAGACCAUUCAGCUGUCAUUAUGUCAAGCUAUUCAAUUGAAUCAAGUCUAAUCCAAACUAAUGAACACUAUGUUCAACGAAUUACUUGUCAGCUGUCACUACUAGUCACAAAAUUUAAAACGUGUGUAAUCAACCAACUUAUGUAGUGACGUGACCAUUCAGCUGUCACUAUUAGUCACAAAAUUUAAAACCAAGACAGAAACAGACAAUAGCAUAAGACAGAGACAAUCAAUAACAUAAGACAGAGAGAUGGAACCUGUUAAUAUGGGAGUCUUGUUCCUUUGGCCAUCUCUGUAGUGAUGGAAUCUCGUAUAUUCUCCAUUACUCUGUCACCAGUAGGCACAUAUGGAACAUGCCCAUCAUUUUCAUCACCAUGCUGCUCAUAUGAUUCAACUAUUUCCCAAUGCCUAAAAUCACUAUCUUCUUGUUGUGAAUCUCGUAUAUAAUUAUGUAAAGCCAUCGUUGAUGUCACAAUCUUAAUCCACUUCUUCACUUCAUACUUUGGGUGCUUCCUAUCAAGUAUUCUCCAUUUAGCUUUCCACACACCAAAUGUUCUUUCGAUUACAGAUCUCAAACUAGAAUGUCUACGAUUAAACAAUUCUCUGCUGUUUGUCGGAGGACCUCCUCUAUUAAACAGUUCUAAAUGGUAUCUAGUCCUACGGUGAGGACCUAAGUAGCCACUUCUAGUAGGAUAUCCUGAAUCUACUAAGUAAUAUUUUCCAGCAGGUGGGUGAGGAAAUGAAGCUUCGUGUGUAGCACAGUAGGUUAGUACUUUAGUGUCAUGCGCUCUUCCGGGUACUCCUACAUAUGCAAUAUUGAAUUUC